rnacentral:rRNA from 1 species
GAUGAACGCUGGCGGCGUGCCUAAUACAUGCAAGUCGAGCGAACAGACGAGGAGCUUGCUCCUCUGACGUUAGCGGCGGACGGGUGAGUAACACGUGGAUAACCUACCUAUAAGACUGGGAUAACUUCGGGAAACCGGAGCUAAUACCGGAUAAUAUAUUGAACCGCAUGGUUCAAUAGUGAAAGACGGUUUUGCUGUCACUUAUAGAUGGAUCCGCGCCGCAUUAGCUAGUUGGUAAGGUAACGGCUUACCAAGGCAACGAUGCGUAGCCGACCUGAGAGGGUGAUCGGCCACACUGGAACUGAGCCACGGUCCAGACUCCUACGGGAGGCAGCAGUAGGGAAUCUUCCGCAAUGGGGGAAAGCCUGACGGAGCAACGCCGCGUGAGUGAUGAAGGUCUUCGGAUCGUAAAACUCUGUUAUUAGGGAAGAACAAAUGUGUAAGUAACUAUGCACGUCUUGACGGUACCUAAUCAGAAAGCCACGGCUAACUACGUG